UAAAUAAAAACGUUGAAAAAAAAAUAAAACAAGCAUUAAAAACAAACAAACAAAAAAAACCCCCCAAAACCCAACAUAAAACGUCUGCAGCAACCAGCCCCAAACAGUCAGGACUUGGUCAGUGACUCGCAGCUCCCCUAGAUUUUGCCUCUGCUUCUAACUCAGCCAACCUGAGAAACCAAUCCCAAAGGAUGCCGCCCUUCUGGUUAGCUUCCCUGCCCCCACACCCUCUGACCAUGGCCCACACGGAGCCUUCCCCCUGGUCCAGUAUGAAGCUUUGCCACUCCCUGCUUUGCUUGCUUUUGAGUCUCUGCCAGAGCAAGUGUUACGGGCUGUGUCCCCCAGAAAUUCGUAUGUUGAAGUCCUGAUCCUCCCUCUCUCAGAAUGGGGCCUUAUUUGGAAAUAAGAUCACCGCAGAUGUAAUUAGUUAAGAUGAGGUCAUACUGGGGUAGAGGGGGCCCCUAAUCCAAUAUGACUGGUAUCCUUAUAAAAAGGGGACAUUUGGACCCAGAUGAGAACGCUGUGUGAACACGAAGACGGAGGCCUGGGUGAGGCAUUCACCAGCCAAGGCACGUCAAAGUGUGCCCACAAGCCACCAGCCGCUAGGAGAGAGGCCUGGAACAGCUUCUCCCUGGCACCUUCAGAGGGAGCCUGGCUCUUCAGAGACCAUGAUCUCAGACUCCUGCCUUCCAGAACUCUGAACGCGUCAAUUUGGGCUGUCGGAGGCACGUGCUUUGUGGUACGUUGUUACCAGAGACCUCGCAGGGAACGCAGCAGGUGACGGUGGCUGACUCCUUUGCUAGAGCAAGCUGCGGGUAAAUGAUGAUCUUUGCCUGCUCUCACCGCCGGUCUUCGUCUAUUUCCACAGCACCCACCGCCCUGCAGUGGGAGGGCCAGGCCUUCAGACGGAGUUAGCAGGACCCCGGGCGGCCAGGCUUUUUGUCAGAAGCCCAGAGAGUAGGGGGCUGCAGGAAGCAUUUUCUCAGGCUGGGGGUGUGGGGCUCUGACCUGGCCGGGUGAUGCCCUGACAGGCUCCGGACUGAUCUUCGUGUGGGCCCCGGGGCUAUUCUGCCGUCCCUUCUGCGGCUGGUGACCCAAGGACCUCCCAUGAGGCGGUGGGGACCUGGGCCUGGCUCAGGGAGGUGGUGGGCAGACCGCUGAGCAGGCCUCUCCCCGACCCCCAGACCCCAGGUGCUCAGGAGGUGGCUGUGCCCCUGGAUCGGUGCUGCCCUUGUAUCCCUAUGGCGUAAAGCGUUCGGGGCUCAUUCAAAGGUGUCUCUUGUCCGACUGAGCGCCGCUGCCUCCCGCAGGGGCUAACUGGAAACAAGUUAUUUUGAGAUCAGCACAGGCUGUGCAGAUAACAGUAACAGUAUUUUAUUGCUGAAGUAGCGUGAGAAAUGUUGGGGGGGGGGGACAAGAAUGUAGAUGAGUUUAAAAAUAGAAGGCUGUAAUUAGCCAAGCGUGGAUUUGUUCUAGAAGGCAUCGAUUACUACGGCAACCACACAUCCGGGAUUUUCCAGGACAGCCUCCCUUCGGUAGGACCCGAUUCUUUUCAGUGAAGGUGAUCCGUUAAACGUCCAAAUGCAAUCGAAUGUUAUGGAGUUACACGACAUUGCGCGUGAAUUCACUCACUAAAGCCACAUAAACACUUGAUCGUGUCAGGACUUCUUGUCUUUCUUUUUUUGCUAUGGAAAUCUCGUCGCGGCGGCCGGCCGUGGUCUCUUCCGACCGGUUAAGAGCUGGUUCCGAGGCUAAGACUUCAGGUCGGUGUGUGUCUGAAGCGGGGAACCCCGAGAGACGGCGAAGGGGAGAGUAGUCUUCAACUUCUUGACCUUCUUGACCUGCAGACGUUGACAUCUUUUUUUUUACUGGCCGUGAUUCCAAGGGAUCGGCUCUCGAGUCUUUGCUGUAUUCCAUGGACGCAGUGCCCCAUGCAGUGCCAGAGGGGUUCUGCAGGGGACACGCAUGUGGCUCGUUGUGGCAGCUUCUAGAGGCCACCCGUGUUCCUUGGCUCGUGCCCCUUCCUCCAUCAGGCACGUCCCUUGGACCUCUGUUUCCGUGGCUCUUCUUCUCCGACCCUCCUGCCUCCCUCCCCUAUCUUUCAAGGCCUCUUGUGAGUAUGCUGGGUUCGCUGGAUGAUCUGGGAUCAUCUCCCUGCCUCAAGGUCACGGACUUCAUCCUAUCUGCAAAAUCCCUUUUGUCAUGUUAGGUUCCAGGGAUUAGGACCUGGUCAUCUUUGGAGACCAUGAGUCUGCCAAUCAUACCUCCAUAUGAGCUUAUACUGUUAUUUUCUCAGACCCCUCUUUUUUCACACGACCUGCUGAUUUUUCUAUUACGAGAGUAGAAUUUCUAUUUGCCCCACCUGUUCCUCCCCCACCCCCCCGUCCACCCCCGCCAUCUACUCUCAGUAUUAAGACAGUGGAAUAAUUGUUUCCUGCAGAGCCAACUCAUUUACUGAGAUUUCAUUCCCUCUCCUGGAGAACAUUUUCUCCCUGGACUUCUAGUUGCCUUUAUCUCUGUCCUGCAGUUUACUCCCAUGUUUCUCCCAGACCCUUUCCUCCUCCAAGAGCCCCUGGACCUCAGCUCUUUCAGGGCCAGGCUGUGCUCUGGGCACCUCACAGCAAGGUGCUUGGGUUUCAAGGGGGAGAGAGAGAGGCAGAGAUGGGGAAGGAAAGAUACGGAGAGAGAGGAGAGGUGUGUGUGGGGCGCGGUGGAGAAAGGACAAACUCCAGAGCACUGAGGACACUGGCCGAGCCGCUAACUGCCUUUGUGGCCUGGCCCUGGGAGUGGGCAGCGCUGCUCCCGAUGCUCUCUAGACAUCGAAUUCUAUUCACGAAGGCUCUGUGUUCCAAGGGGAGGCGGACAGAGACAUCACCUCCUGAAGGGAGUACGGCAACAUCCGGGAAGAACAUGUGAGGACAGAAAUACUACAGUCACCAAUCUCGGAAAAUGCUAAUCUACGGUACAGCGUAACACAGUUGUGUCCCCAAAGAAGAAAUUUGUUCUCUAAUAGACUAGUGGUAGCUGAAUAAAAAAAAUUACUUGUUUUACUCAA